GACGAACGCUGGCGGCGUGCUUAACACAUGCAAGUCGAGCGGUAAGGCCCUUUCGGGGGUACGACGAGCGGCGAACGGGUGAGUAACACGUGGGUGACCUGCCCUCAGCUCUGGGAUAAGCCUGGGAAACCGGGUCUAAUACUGGAUAUGACUCCAUGACGCAUGUUGUGGGGUGGAAAGCCUUGUGCGGCUGAGGAUGGGCCCGCGGCCUAUCAGCUUGUUGGUGGGGUGANGGCCUACCAAGGCGACGACGGGUAGCCGGCCUGAGAGGGCGACCGGCCACACUGGGACUGAGACACGGCCCAGACUCCUACGGGAGGCGGCAGUGGGGAAUCUUGCGCAAUGGGCGAAAGCCUGACGCAGCGACGCCGCGUGAGGGAUGACGGCCU
rnacentral:rRNA from 1 species